GGUUAAGCGACUAAGCGUACACGGUGGAUGCCCUGGCAGUCAGAGGCGAUGAAGGACGUGCUAAUCUGCGAUAAGCGUCGGUAAGGUGAUAUGAACCGUUAUAACCGGCGAUUUCCGAAUGGGGAAACCCAGUGUGAUUCGUCACACUAUCAUUAACUGAAUCCAUAGGUUAAUGAGGCGAACCGGGGGAACUGAAACAUCUAAGUACCCCGAGGAAAAGAAAUCAACCGAGAUUCCCCCAGUAGCGGCGAGCGAACGGGGAGCAGCCCAGAGCCUGAAUCAGUGUGUGUGUUAGUGGAAGCGUCUGGAAAGGCGUGCGAUACAGGGUGACAGCCCCGUACACAAAAAUGCACAUAUUGUGAGCUCGAUGAGUAGGGCGGGACACGUGGUAUCCUGUCUGAAUAUGGGGGGACCAUCCUCCAAGGCUAAAUACUCCUGACUGACCGAUAGUGAACCAGUACCGUGAGGGAAAGGCGAAAAGAAC
rnacentral:rRNA from 1 species